CUACGGGGCGCUCCAGUGAGGAAUAUUGCGCAAUGGGCGAAAGCCUGACGCAGCAACGCCGCGUGGAUGAUGAAGCUCUAAGGAGCGUAAAGUCCUGUUAGAAGGGAAGAACAACUUUAUUUCAAAUAGGCUUAAAGUUUGACGGUACCUUCAGAGAAAGCCCCGGCUAACUCCGUGCCAGCAGCCGCGGUAAUACGGGGGGGGCAAGCGUUGUCCGGAAUUAUUGGGCGUAAAGAGCGCGUAGGCGGAACAGUAUGUCAGAAGUGAAAACCAUGGGCUUAACUCAUGGCCUGCUUUUGAACUGCUGUUCUUGAGUACGGUAGAGGGAAGUGGAAUUCCUGGUGUAGCGGUGAAAUGCGUAGAUAUCAGGAAGAACACCGGUAGCGAAGGCGGCUUCCUGGACCGUAACUGACGCUGAGGCGCGAAAGCGUGGGGAGCAAACAGGAUUAGAUACCCCGGUAGUC
rnacentral:rRNA from 1 species